GAUGAACGCUGGUGGCGUGCCUAAUACAUGCAAGUCGAGCGAACGGACGAGAAGCUUGCUUCUCUGAUGUUAGCGGCGGACGGGUGAGUAACACGUGGAUAACCUACCUAUAAGACUGGGAUAACUUCAGGAAACCGGAGCUAAUACCGGAUAAUAUUUUGAACCGCAUGGUUCAAAAGUGAAAGACGGUCUUGCUGUCACUUAUAGAUGGAUCCGCGCUGCAUUAGCUAGUUGGUAAGGUAACGGCUUACCAAGGCAACGAUGCAUAGCCGACCUGAGAGGGUGAUCGGCCACACUGGAACUGAGACACGGUCCAGACUCCUACGGGAGGCAGCAGUAGGGAAUCUUCCGCAAUGGGCGAAAGCCUGACGGAGCAACGCCGCGUGAGUGAUGAAGGUCUUCGGAUCGUAAAACUCUGUUAUUAGGGAAGAACAAAUGUGUAAGUAACUAUGCACGUCUUGACGGUACCUAAUCAGAAAGCCACGGCUAACUACGUG
rnacentral:rRNA from 1 species